AGCAUAUCAAUAAGCGGAGGAAAAGAAACUAACAAGGAUUCCCCUAGUAACUGCGAGUGAAGCGGGAAAAGCUCAAAUUUUAAAUCUGGCAGUCUCUGGCUGUCCGAGUUGUAAUCUAGAGAAGUGUUAUCCGCGCUGGACCGUGUACAAGUCUCCUGGAAUGGAGCGUCAUAGAGGGUGAGAAUCCCGUCUUUGACACGGACUGCCAGGGCUUUGUGAUGCGCUCUCAAAGAGUCGAGUUGUUUGUGAAUGCAGCUCAAAAUGGGUGGUAAAUUCCAUCUAAAGCUAAAUAUUGGCGAGAGACCGAUAGCGAACAAGUACCGUGAGGGAAAGAUGAAAAGAACUUUGAAAAGAGAGUUAAACAGUACGUGAAAUUGCUGAAAGGGAAACGCUUGAAGUCAGUCGCGUUGACCAGGGAUCAACCUUGCUUUUGCUUGGUGUACUUCCUGGUUGAUGGGUCAGCAUCAAUUUUGACUAUUGGAAAAAGGUCAAGGGAAUGUGGCAUCUUCGGAUGUGUUAUAGCCCUUGGUUGCAUACAAUGGUUGGGAUUGAGGAACUCAGCACGCCGCAAGGCCGGGUAUUUUACCACGUACGUGCUUAGGAUGCUGGCAUAAUGGCUUUAAUCGACCCGUCUUGAAACACGGACCAAGGAGUCUAACAUGCCUGCGAGUGUUUGGGUGGAAAACCCAAGCGCGCAAUGAAAGUGAAAGUUGAGAUCCCUGUCGUGGGGAGCAUCGACGCCCGGACCAGACCUUUUGUGACGGUUCCGCGGUAGAGCAUGUAUGUUGGGACCCGAAAGAUGGUGAACUAUGCCUGAAUAGGGUGAAGCCAGAGGAAACUCUGGUGGAGGCUCGUAGCGAUUCUGACGUGCAAAUCGAUCGUCAAAUUUGGGUAUAGGGGCGAAAGACUAAUCGAACCAUCUAGUAGCUGGUUCCUGC
rnacentral:rRNA from 1 species